rnacentral:rRNA from 1 species
UACGGGGGGAGCAAGCGUUGUUCGGAUUUACUGGGCGUAAAGGGCGCGUAGGCGGCCAGCGCAAGUCAGUUGUGAAAUCUCCGAGCUUAACUCGGAAAGGUCAACUGAUACUGCGCGGCUAGAGUGCAGAAGGGGCAACUGGAAUUCUCGGUGUAGCGGUGAAAUGCGUAGAUAUCGAGGGGAACACCUGCGGCGAAGGCGGGUUGCUGGGCUGACACUGACGCUGAUGCGCGAAAGCCAGGGGAGCGAACGGG